rnacentral:rRNA from 1 species
GGGUUGUGAGGUUAAGCGACUAAGCGUACACGGUGGAUGCCCUGGCAGUCAGAGGCGAUGAAGGACGUGCUAAUCUGCGAUAAGCGCCGGUAAGGUGAUAUGAACCGUUAUAACCGGCGAUUUCCGAAUGGGGAAACCCAGUGUGACUCGUCACACUAUCAUUAACUGAAUCCAUAGGUUAAUGAGGCGAACCGGGGGAACUGAAACAUCUAAGUACCCCGAGGAAAAGAAAUCAACCGAGAUUCCCCCAGUAGCGGCGAGCGAACGGGGAGGAGCCCAGAGCCUGAAUCAGCAUGUGUGUUAGUGGAAGCGUCUGGAAAGGCGCGCGAUACAGGGUGACAGCCCCGUACACAAAAGCGCACAUGCUGUGAGCUCGAUGAGUAGGGCGGGACACGUGGUAUCCUGUCUGAAUAUGGGGGGACCAUCCUCCAAGGCUAAAUACUCCUGACUGACCGAUAGUGAACCAGUACCGUGAGGGAAAGGCGAAAAGAACCCCGGCGAGGGGAGUGAAAAAGAACCUGAAACCGUGUACGUACAAGCAGUGGGAGCACCCUUUGGGGUGUGACUGCGUACCUUUUGUAUAAUGGGUCAGCGACUUAUAUUCUGUAGCAAGGUUAACCGAAUAGGGGAGCCGGAGGGAAACCGAGUCUUAACCGGGCGUUAAGUUGCAGGGUAUAGACCCGAAACCCGGUGAUCUAGCCAUGGGCAGGUUGAAGGUUGGGUAACACUAACUGGAGGACCGAACCGACUAAUGUUGAAAAAUUAGCGGAUGACCUGUGGCUGGGGGUGAAAGGCCAAUCAAACCGGGAGAUAGCUGGUUCUCCCCGAAAGCUAUUUAGGUAGCGCCUCGUGAAUUCAUCUCCGGGGGUAGAGCACUGUUUCGGCUAGGGGGCCAUCCCGGCUUACCAACCCGAUGCAAACUGCGAAUACCGGAGAAUGUUAUCACGGGAGACACACGGCGGGUGCUAACGUCCGUCGUGAAGAGGGAAACAACCCAGACCGCCAGCUAAGGUCCCAAAGUCAUGGUUAAGUGGGAAACGAUGUGGGAAGGCCCAGACAGCCAGGAUGUUGGCUUAGAAGCAGCCAUCAUUUAAAGAAAGCGUAAUAGCUCACUGGUCGAGUCGGCCUGCGCGGAAGAUGUAACGGGGCUAAACCAUGCACCGAAGCUGCGGCAGCGAACGUAUCACCCAAGACAACUUUACGGAGUUAACGAUUGACGGAGCGAAGCGACGUCAAAGCGUUCAUUAAAGUCGAGUUGGCUUAGGGAUACGUUCGUUGGGUAGGGGAGCGUUCUGUAAGCCUGUGAAGGUGGCCUGUGAGGGUUGCUGGAGGUAUCAGAAGUGCGAAUGCUGACAUAAGUAACGAUAAAGCGGGUGAAAAGCCCGCUCGCCGGAAGACCAAGGGUUCCUGUCCAACGUUAAUCGGGGCAGGGUGAGUCGACCCCUAAGGCGAGGCCGAAAGGCGUAGUCGAUGGGAAACGGGUUAAUAUUCCCGUACUUGGUGUUACUGCGAAGGGGGGACGGAGAAGGCUAUGUUGGCCGGGCGACGGUUGUCCCGGUUUAAGCGUGUAGGUGUGUGUUCCAGGUAAAUCCGGUUCACUUUAACACUGAGGCGUGAUGACGAGGCACUACGGUGCUGAAGCAACAAAUGCCCUGCUUCCAGGAAAAGCCUCUAAGCAUCAGGUAACAUCAAAUCGUACCCCAAACCGACACAGGUGGUCAGGUAGAGAAUACCAAGGCGCUUGAGAGAACUCGGGUGAAGGAACUAGGCAAAAUGGUGCCGUAACUUCGGGAGAAGGCACGCUGACACGUAGGUGAAGUGAUUUACUCAUGGAGCUGAAGUCAGUCGAAGAUACCAGCUGGCUGCAACUGUUUAUUAAAAACACAGCACUGUGCAAACACGAAAGUGGACGUAUACGGUGUGACGCCUGCCCGGUGCCGGAAGGUUAAUUGAUGGGGUCAGCGCAAGCGAAGCUCCUGAUCGAAGCCCCGGUAAACGGCGGCCGUAACUAUAACGGUCCUAAGGUAGCGAAAUUCCUUGUCGGGUAAGUUCCGACCUGCACGAAUGGCGUAAUGAUGGCCAGGCUGUCUCCACCCGAGACUCAGUGAAAUUGAACUCGCUGUGAAGAUGCAGUGUACCCGCGGCAAGACGGAAAGACCCCGUGAACCUUUACUAUAGCUUGACACUGAACAUUGAGCCUUGAUGUGUAGGAUAGGUGGGAGGCUUUGAAGUGUGGACGCCAGUCUGCAUGGAGCCGACCUUGAAAUACCACCCUUUAAUGUUUGAUGUUCUAACGUGGACCCGUGAUCCGGGUUGCGGACAGUGUCUGGUGGGUAGUUUGACUGGGGCGGUCUCCUCCUAAAGAGUAACGGAGGAGCACGAAGGUUGGCUAAUCCUGGUCGGACAUCAGGAGGUUAGUGCAAUGGCAUAAGCCAGCUUGACUGCGAGCGUGACGGCGCGAGCAGGUGCGAAAGCAGGUCAUAGUGAUCCGGUGGUUCUGAAUGGAAGGGCCAUCGCUCAACGGAUAAAAGGUACUCCGGGGAUAACAGGCUGAUACCGCCCAAGAGUUCAUAUCGACGGCGGUGUUUGGCACCUCGAUGUCGGCUCAUCACAUCCUGGGGCUGAAGUAGGUCCCAAGGGUAUGGCUGUUCGCCAUUUAAAGUGGUACGCGAGCUGGGUUUAGAACGUCGUGAGACAGUUCGGUCCCUAUCUGCCGUGGGCGCUGGAGAACUGAGGGGGGCUGCUCCUAGUACGAGAGGACCGGAGUGGACGCAUCACUGGUGUUCGGGUUGUCAUGCCAAUGGCACUGCCCGGUAGCUAAAUGCGGAAGAGAUAAGUGCUGAAAGCAUCUAAGCACGAAACUUGCCCCGAGAUGAGUUCUCCCUGAGACUUUAGGUCUCCUGAAGGAACGUUGAAGACGACGACGUUGAUAGGCCGGGUGUGUAAGCGCAGCGAUGCGUUGAGCUAACCGGUACUAAUGAACCGUGAGGCUUAACCUUACAACGCCGAAG